rfam:Cephalotus follicularis DNA, scaffold: scaffold2516, isolate: St1.
UGGCCUGUAAGGAUAUCAUUCACUAAUUAACCAUCUUUCAGGACUGAAUGAAUUUUUUAAUCCAUGCUGUCAUUUUGCAAUUCUGAGGCUA